GCGGGAGUAGCUCAGUUGGUAGAGCGUCAGCCUUCCAAGCUGAGGGUCGCGGGUUCGAGCCCCGUCUCCCGCU
rnacentral:tRNA from 1 species